rnacentral:misc_RNA from 1 species
AAACUGCUAGUCUCGAAUGUUACGAUGAGAAUGUCAGUGGUAGAGUGACCUUGUUUUGGUCUCGUGCUACAGGAUUACCAUCCGGAUCAUCACAGGACAAUGGUAUCCUCACCAUUCCUAAUGUACAGCCAAGCUAUGCUGGAAACUACGUAUGUACCGAACGGAUACAGAUUCUGGCCGUGUGAGCACAGCUAUAGCAGUCCUCGAAGUGGAAAUAGAAGACGAUACACAAUGUCGGAAUCCCCUCGGGAUGGAAUCGGGAGACAUCCUUGAUCAAGCGAUAACUGCCAGUUCUUCCUACAGCGAUGAAUUGCUUGGACCAGAAAAUGCAAGAAUCCGAACUGAAACCAAUGGCGGGGCAUGGUGCCCAAAGAGCCCUAUCGAUCGCUACUCGUACGAGUAUCUGCAGAUUGACCUUGGACGCCUUACAGUCAUCACCAUGGUGGAAAUACAGGGAAGAUUUAAUAACGGUCUGGGUACAGAGUUUACUGAGGAAUUUAUACUGGAGUACCAAAGGGAAGAUGAUGGUGAAUGGUUGAGGUUCCGUAACAAACGUGGAGGAGAGCGUUUUGUUGGGAACAGUAACACCUACAUAGCAGAAGUACGUGAGAUAUCGCCGCCCAUUAUUGGAAAACGUUUACGUUUUAUACCGUUUUGUCGUAAAUCAUGCACAGUGUGUCUAAGAGUGGAACUAUAUGGCUGCACAUGGCAAGAUGGUAUUGUGACAUAUUCAGUGCGACAGGGAGAUAGGCUAGGUACCGAAGUCAAUCUCGUUGAUUUUAUUUAUGAUGGUGUAAUAAAUCAGAACUAUCUUCGCGGCGGACUUGGACAGCUGACGGAUGGAGAGAAGGGUGAAACAAACUUUUAUCUUGACACCCAGGAUCUAGGGAUUAAAGGAUACGAGUGGGUCGGCUGGAAAAAUGACGCAGUGAAUGGUGCCGGUCCUGUUGAACUUUUGUUUCAAUUCAAUACUGUUCGAAAUUUUACAUCAGUAAUGCUUCAUUGCAAUAAUUAUUUUUCAAAAAGCAUACGAGUGUUCAAAACAGCAGUUAUUCAUUACAGUAUCGGCGGUAAAUACUUCGAGCAGAAAAAAGACGAAUUUCAUUAUUUACGUGACUCAUUUUUGGAAUAUGCACGAGAUGUUCGAGUCGGAUUGGAUAAUAUUAUUGCACGUUAUAUAAGAUUAGAACUUUAUUUGGACGCUAAAUGGCUUUUAAUCAGCGAAGUGAAAUUUGAAUCAAAACCUGCAAUUGGAAACUUCAGUGCCGAGUUACCUCCGACGACGACUGUUUCCACGAAAACUACUCAGCAAAACAGUACAGCAAUUAACGAUCUUGAAACGGUGGUUGAUCCGAAUUCCUCUGCAUCUACAUUAGAUCCAGCACAAUGUCGGAAACCUCUCGGGAUGGAGUCGGGAGACAUCCUUGAUCAAGCGAUAACUGCCAGUUCAUCCUAUGAUAAAGAUGUUGGACCAGAAUAUGCAAGAGUCCGAACUGAAAUCAAAGGCGGGGCAUGGUGCCCAAAGAGCUCUGUCGAUCGGUACUCGUACGAGUAUCUACAGAUUGACCUUGGACGCCUGACAGUCAUCACCAUGGUGGAAAUACAGGGACGAUUUGGCAAUGGUCAAGGUACAGAGUUUACUGAGGAAUUUAUACUGGAGUACCAAAGGGACGAUGAUGAUGAAUGGUUGAGGUUCCGUAACAAACGUGGAGGAGAGCGUUUUGUUGGGAACAGUAACACCUAUAUAGCAGAAGUACGUGACGUAUCGCCGCCAAUUAUAGGAAAACGUUUACGUUUUAUACCGUAUUGUCGUAAAUCAUGCACAGUGUGUCUAAGAGUGGAACUAUAUGGUUGCCCGUGGCAAGAACCUGCAGUUGGAAACUUCAGUGCCGAGUUACCUCCACCUACGACUGUUUCCACGAAAACUACCCAGCAAGACUAUACAAAAAAUAGUGAUCUUGUUACAGUGUUUGAUCUAAAUCCCACUGGUACUUCCUUAGAUCCGGCACAAUGUCGGAAACCUCUCGGAAUGGAAUCAGGAGACAUCCCUGAUCGAGCGAUAACUGCCAGUUCAUCCUUCAGUGAUGAAAUUGUUGGACCAGAAAAUGCAAGAAUCCGAACUGAGACCAAAGGCGGGGCUUGGUGUCCAGCGAGAAGUAUCAAUAACGAGACGUACGAGUAUCUGCAGAUUGACCUUGAAAACCUCACAGCCAUCACCAUGGUGGAAACACAGGGAAGAUUCGGCAAUGGCCAGAGUAUACUGAGGAAUUUUUGCUGGAGUACCAGCGAGACGAUAAUGGAGAGUGGAUCAGGUUCCGUAACAAAGGUGGAGAAGAGCUUUUUGAGGGGAAUGAUAACACUUACUCAACAGAAGUACGCCAAGUAUCACCGCCAAUUGUCGGUAAACGUUUACGUUUUAUUCCGUACUGCCGUGAAUCAUGCACAGUAUGUUUGAGAGUGGAACUAUACGGCUGCACAUGGUCAUGGCCAGAACCUGCAGAUGAAAACGACAUAGUCGGGAUACCUUCCACCCCUGAGAUAACUGAUACAGUAACGAACAAUCCAAAUAUAUCUCUGCCAUCGCCAAAACCCGAAAAGGAAAG